CUUAAUAUUUGGGUUUGGGGGUUGGCUGCGAGCUAUGGCUAAACACCAUCCAGAUUUGAUCUUUUGCUGCAAGCAGGCUGGCGUUGCCAUUGGAAGACUGUGUGAAAAAUGUGACGGCAAGUGUGUAAUCUGUGACUCCUAUGUGCGUCCCUGCACCCUCGUGCGAAUAUGUGAUGAGUGUAACUAUGGCUCUUACCAGGGGCGCUGUGUGAUCUGUGGAGGCCCAGGAGUCUCUGAUGCCUAUUAUUGUAAGGAGUGUACCAUCCAGGAGAAGGAUAGAGAUGGCUGCCCAAAAAUUGUCAAUUUGGGGAGCUCUAAGACAGACCUCUUCUAUGAACACAAAAAAUACGGCUUCAAGAAAAGGUGAUUGGUGGGUGGCCCCUUCUCCCCCCACCAUCAAGCUGCCACAGCUGCCAGAAAAGAUGCCUACUACUACCAGCAGAACAGGAGCGGAGCCCAGAGCAUCACCGGAAUUGCCUGCUAGUGUACUGGCACCUUGCCACCCUUUCCUGUCCCCUCACCCAGACAUGUGGUAGGCAUAGAAAAGGAUUCUUCACAGAGCACCCUGGCAGACUAUAUGAGAGAAAAAUUGAUAGUGUUUUUUUCAGCUCACUACAGCCUCUUCUCCACAUUGAUAUGUUCUCUUUACAGUAAGUUUCUAGAAAGAAAUAAUAUUUCCGUAUUGUCUGAGGAGUUGACUGUGAAGCUACACAGAAUGAAAACCAUGUUCUUGCAGCAGCUCUGAUGGCAGUUGUCCUUGAGGAACCAUCAGUGUGUGGUGGGGAGCUCUCAGAGUGAUAAAUGUGGGUGUGUAAUCUUGUAACACUUACCAGGCAGUGCUGGUUUCAUGUUAUUUUCCUUCUGAGAAAUUGGAAACCCUUUCUUUUGCUAUUAUAUUAAUAAAGCUGGCGUUUAUUUUCUGGCAAAAAAAAAA